rnacentral:rRNA from 1 species
GCAGUGGGGAAUAUUGCACAAUGGGGGAAACCCUGAUGCAGCGACGCCGCGUGAGUGAAGAAGUAUUUCGGUAUGUAAAGCUCUAUCAGCAGGGAAGAAAAAAGACGGUACCUGACUAAGAAGCCCCGGCUAACUACGUGCCAGCAGCCGCGGUAAUACGUAGGGGGCAAGCGUUAUCCGGAAUUACUGGGUGUAAAGGGUGCGUAGGUGGCAUGGUAAGUCAGAAGUGAAAGCCCGGGGCUUAACCCCGGGACUGCUUUUGAAACUGUCAUGCUGGAGUGCAGGAGAGGUAAGCGGAAUUCCUAGUGUAGCGGUGAAAUGCGUAGAUAUUAGGAGGAACACCAGUGGCGAAGGCGGCUUACUGGACUGUCACUGACACUGAUGCACGAAAGCGUGGGGAGCAAACAGGAUUAGAUACCCUGGUAGUCCACGCCGUAAACGA